UACGGAGGGUGCAAGCGUUACUCGGAAUCACUGGGCGUAAAGCGCGCGCAGGCGGUUUGAUAAGUUGGAUGUGAAAUCCUAUGGCUCAACCAUAGAACUGCAUCCAAAACUGUCAAACUAGAGUCUGGGAGAGGAAGAUGGAAUUAGUUGUGUAGGGGUAAAAUCCGUAGAGAUAACUAGGAAUACCAAAAGCGAAGGCGAUCUUCUGAACAGUACUGACGCUGAGGCGCGAAAGCGUGGGGAGCAAACAGGAUUAGAUACCCUGGUAGUCCACGCCCUAAACGAUGAAUGUUAGUCGUUGGAGGCCUAGUGUCUUCAGUGAUGCAGCUAACGCAUUAAACAUUCCGCCUGGGGAGUACGGUCGCAAGAUUAAAACUCAAAGGAAUAGACGGGGACCCGCACAAGUGGUGGAGCAUGUGGUUUAAUUCGAAGAUACGCGAAGAACCUUACCUGGCCUUGACAUUGAUAGAACACAGUGGAGAUACAGUGGUGCCCUUCGGGGAGCUUGAAAACAGGUGCUGCACGGCUGUCGUCAGCUCGUGUCGUGAGAUGUUGGGUUAAGUCCCGCAACGAGCGCAACCCUCGUGACUAGUUACUAACGGUUCGGCCGAGGACUCUAGUCAGACUGCCUCCGCAAGGAGGAGGAAGGUGAGGACGACGUCAAGUCAUCAUGGCCCUUACGGCCAGGGCAACACACGUGCUACAAUGGUUAGGACAAUGAGACGCGAUACCGCGAGGUGGAGCAAAUCUAUAAAUCUAAUCUCAGUUCGGAUAGUAGUCUGCAACUCGACUACUUGAAGCUGGAAUCACUAGUAAUCGUAGAUCAGCUAUGCUACGGUGAAUACGUUCCCGGGUCUUGUACUCACCGCCCGUCACACCAUGGGAGUUGAUAUCACCCGAAGCGGGGAAGCUAAACUGGCUACCCUCCAC
rnacentral:rRNA from 1 species